rnacentral:rRNA from 1 species
CAGUUCAGAUUGCAGGCUGCAACUCGCCUGCAUGAAGUCGGAAUUGCUAGUAAUCGCAGAUCAGCAUGCUGCGGUGAAUACGUUCCCGGGCCUUGUACACACCGCCCGUCACACCAUGGGAGUCGGUAACACCCGAAGUCGGUAGCCUAACCGUAAGGAGGGCGCCGCCGAAGGUGGGAUUGAUGACUGGGGUGAAGUCGUAACAAGGUAGC